rnacentral:misc_RNA from 1 species
AACCAUAGAAACCUGCGGAGUACCUGCGGAGGGAUCAUUACCGAGCGCGCCCCCCCGUAAAAAGGGGGGCACCUCCCGUCCUUUGCCGGCCCCCCUCUAAAAGGGGGGCUCUUUAGACUCUGCUUCGGCGGGGCGACCCGCCGGAACACCCUCAAGAAAUUCGUCAAACCGUUCCGUCCGAGGGCUUUUUCAAAAAUGAAGCGAAAAACUUUUAACAAUGGAUCUCAGAUCGGAAGAGCA